UUUGGUGGCUAUGGAGUGAGUGUUCACCUCUUCCCAUUCCGUGCCGGGGGCUGCCGAACUUGUUGAGGCAACGAGAAGUUAAGCCUCACAUCGCCGAUGAUACUGCGCUUGUUCGUGGAAAAGUAGGUCGCCGCCAAUC
rnacentral:rRNA from 1 species